rnacentral:rRNA from 1 species
UACGUAGGGCGCAAGCGUUGUCCGGAUUUAUUGGGCGUAAAGAGCGUGUAGGCGGCUGGGUAGGUCCGUUGUGAAAACUCGAGGCUCAACCUCGAGACGCCGAUGGAAACCCCCCAGCUAGAGUCCGGAAGAGGAGAGUGGAAUUCCUGGUGUAGCGGUGAAAUGCGCAGAUAUCAGGAAGAACACCCGUGGCUAAGGCGGCUCUCUAGUACGGUACUGACGCUGAGACGCGAAAGCGUGGGGAGCGAACAGG